GUUAGAAGCCCGACAGGACCAGUGAAAAUUCAUUUGUCACGAUGACUUGGAUACAAAUUGUUCUUGUUGUAUUUCUACUUCCAUGGAUAUUGCAGACAAUAGCCUUUCGUUCAGACAUGGAUGCAUGCCAUCGAGGGUGGAGGUUUUAUUGUAACACUUCCAUGAAGUGCAUUAGCAAAUACUUCGUAUGUGACGGAAAUAACAACUGUGUAAGCG